rnacentral:rRNA from 1 species
AAUCAACGCUGGCGGCGUGCCUAACACAUGCAAGUCGAACGCGAAAAUUCCUUCGGGGAUGAGUAGAGUGGCGUCCGGGUGAGUAACACGUGGGUGACCUGCCCUUAGCUCUGGGAUAAGCCUGGGAAACUGGGUCUAAUACCGGAUAUGACUCCAUGACGCAUGUUGUGGGGUGGAAAGCCUUGUGCGGCUGGGGAUGGGCCCGCGGCCUAUCAGCUUGUUGGUGGGGUGAUGGCCUACCAAGGCGA